GAGUUAUCUGAACCUUCNGGGAACGAUAACGGCGUCGAGCGGCGGACGGGUGAGUAAUGCCUAGGAAAUUGCCCUGAUGUGGGGGAUAACCAUUGGAAACGAUGGCUAAUACCGCAUGAUGCCUACGGGCCAAAGAGGGGGACCUUCGGGCCUCUCGCGUCAGGAUAUGCCUAGGUGGGAUUAGCUAGUUGGUGAGGUAAGGGCUCACCAAGGCGACGAUCCCUAGCUGGUCUGAGAGGAUGAUCAGCCACACUGGAACUGAGACACGGUCCAGACUCCUACGGGAGGCAGCAGUGGGGAAUAUUGCACAAUGGGCGCAAGCCUGAUGCAGCCAUGCCGCGUGUGUGAAGAAGGCCUUCGGGUUGUAAAGCACUUUCAGUCGUGAGGAAGGCGGUGUAGUUAAUAGCUGCNUUGUUUGACGUUAGCGACAGAAGAAGCACCGGCUAACUCCGUGCCAGCAGCCGCGGUAAUACGGAGGGUGCGAGCGUUAAUCGGAAUUACUGGGCGUAAAGCGCAUGCAGGUGGUUUGUUAAGUCAGAUGUGAAAGCCCGGGGCUCAACCUCGGAAUAGCAUUUGAAACUGGCAGACUAGAGUACUGUAGAGGG
rnacentral:rRNA from 1 species